GACGAACGCUGGCGGCGUGCUUAACACAUGCAAGUCGAACGGAAAGGCCCUGCUUUUGUGGGGUGCUCGCGUGGCGAACGGGUGGGUAACCCGUGAGUAACGUGCCCUUUACUUUGGGAUAAGUUCAGGUAACAGGGGCUACUACCGGAGAGGAGCUCCUGCUGCUUGGUGGGGGUUGGACAGUUUCGGCGGUUGGUGAUGGACUCGCGGCUUAUCGGCUUGUUGGUGGGGUAGUGGGUUACCAAGUCUUUGACGGGUAGCCGACAUGAGAGGGUGGCCGGCGACAUUGCGACUGAGAUAAGGCCCAGACGCAAACGGGAGGCAACGGUGGGGAAUAUUAUACAAUGAGCGGGAGCAUGAGACGACGACGCCGCGGGCGGGAACAGCGGCUGCGAGUUGGAAACAGCUUUCGCCUGAGACGAAGCGUGAAUGACGGUAACGGGUAAAGAAGCACCGGCUAACUACGUG
rnacentral:rRNA from 1 species